rnacentral:lncRNA from 10 species
UCUGUGCUUUUCCAGGGUGAUCCUGAGAACAACAUUGAACAGGUAUAAUCUCAUAAGUUAUAAUCAGAGGAAGGAAACGCCUGAGAGAUCUGAAGGUUUUAAUUGUUGUUGAGUGCAGAUGGUUUGGAUUACCGCACAGGAAUGGAGCUCAAGGAAGAGGGAAGUUUGGACACAGACACACACAGACAAGAGAAUACCAUGUGACAAAGGCAGAGAUUGGAAUGAUACAGCUGCAAGCCAGGGAUGCCAAGGAUUGCAGGUGAAGAGUCAAGGAAGGAUUCUACCCAGAGUUGCACGGCCUUAUUGACACCUUGAUUUGGGCUUCUAGACUCCAGAAUCAUGACAGAAUAAAUUUAUCUGUGUGGAUGUGUGUGUGUGUGUGUGUGUGUGUGUGUGUGUGUGUGUUUUCCUAAAAAAGAGACAAGGUCUCAUUCUAUCCCCCAGGAUGGAGUGCAGUGUCAUGAUCAUAGCUCACUGCAGCCUCGAUCUCCUGGACUCAAAGCAUCUUCCCACCCCAGCCUCCCAGGAAUCUGGGACUACAGGUGUGAACCACUGUGCCGGCUCUGUUGAUUUAAGCCACCGAGUUUGUGGAACUUUGUUAUGGCAGUUCUAGAAAAUGAAUAUAAUAAUUAAAAUGAAAGUUUUGCUAACUGCUACCUUUACCUUUACCAUGUGCAAUUUUAUUUUAUUCUUUUUUUAAGCUUCUUAUAACUCAGUUCACUGGUUUCAUAAUCUACUAAUGGGUUGUAAUCCAAAGUGUGAAUAAUAUACCAGAAAUACCCUUGAAAGUUCUUUCCAAACUUGAGAGUUUGUGAUUCUAUGGGACCUAAGUGGGGCACAGAUCAGAAGAAUCAAAACACAAAAAAG